rnacentral:rRNA from 1 species
GAGUAGGGCGGGACACGUGUUAUCCUGUCUGAAUAUGGGGGGACCAUCCUCCAAGGCUAAAUACUCCUGACUGACCGAUAGUGAACCAGUACCGUGAGGGAAAGGCGAAAAGAACCCCUGUGAGGGGAGUGAAAUAGAACCUGAAACCGUGUACGUACAAGCAGUAGGAGCACCUUCGUGGUGUGACUGCGUACCUUUUGUAUAAUGGGUCAGCGACUUAUAUUCAGUGGCAAGGUUAACCAUCUAGGGGAGCCGUAGGGAAACCGAGUCUUAACUGGGCGCCAUAGUCUCUGGAUAUAGACCCGAAACCGAGUGAUCUAGCCAUGGGCAGGUUGAAGGUUGAGUAACAUCAACUGGAGGACCGAACCGACUAAUGUUGAAAAAUUAGCGGAUGACUUGUGGCUAGGGGUGAAAGGCCAAUCAAACUCGGAGAUAGCUGGUUCUCCCCGAAAGCUAUUUAGGUAGCGCCUCGGACGAAUACUACUGGGGGUAGAGCACUGUUAAGGCUAGGGGGUCAUCCCGACUUACCAACCCUUUGCAAACUCCGAAUACCAGUAAGUACUAUCCGGGAGACACACGGCGGGUGCUAACGUCCGUCGUGGAGAGGGAAACAACCCAGACCGCCAGCUAAGGUCCCAAAUUACAGCUAAGUGGGAAACGAUGUGGGAAGGCUUAGACAGCUAGGAUGUUGGCUUAGAAGCAGCCAUCAUUUAAAGAAAGCGUAAUAGCUCACUAGUCGAGUCGGCCUGCGCGGAAGAUGUAACGGGGCUAAGUUGUAAACCGAAGCUGCGGCAAUGUUCUUUGAACAUUGGGUAGGGGAGCGUUCUGUAAGCCGUUGAAGGUGUGUUGUAAAGCAUGCUGGAGGUAUCAGAAGUGCGAAUGCUGACAUGAGUAACGACAAGGGGGGUGAAAAACCUCCCCGCCGGAAGACCAAGGGUUCCUGUCCAACGUUAAUCGGGGCAGGGUAAGUCGACCCCUAAGGCGAGGCCGAAAGGCGUAGUCGAUGGGAAACGGGUUAAUAUUCCCGUACUUCUUACAAUUGCGAUGGGGGGACGGAGAAGGCUAGGUGGGCCUGGCGACGGUUGUCCAGGUUCAAGUGCGUAGGCU